ACGCUCGACACCUACGGGGCAGCAGUGGGGAAUAUUGCACAAUGGGGGAAACCCUGAUGCAGCAACGCCGCGUGAAGGAAGACGGUUUUCGGAUUGUAAACUUCUGUUCUUAGUGAAGAUAGUGACGGUAGCUAAGGAGCAAGCCACGGCUAACUACGUGCUAGCACGCCGACGUAUNGAGGCGGGCGUGGACGAAGGC
rnacentral:rRNA from 1 species